UGGGGAAUAUUGGACAAUGGGGGCAACCCUGAUCCAGCAAUGCCGCGUGUGUGAAGAAGGCCUGCGGGUUGUAAAGCACUUUCAUUUGGGAAGAAAAGCAGUCGGUUAAUACCCGGCUGUCUUGACGUUACCUUUACAAGAAGCACCGGCUAAGUCCGAGCCAGCAGCCGCGGUAAUACGGAGGGAGCGAGCGUCAAUCGGAAUUACAGGGCGUAAAGCGCGCGUAGGCGGUUCGGUCAGUCGGAUGUGAAAGCCCCGGGCUUAACCUGGGAAUUGCAUUCGAUACUGCCGAGCUAGAGUAUGGGAGAGGGAAGCGGAAUUUCCGGUGUAGCGGUGAAAUGCGUAGAUAUCGGAAGGAACAUCAGUGGCGAAGGCGGCUUCCUGGACCAAUACUGACGCUGAGGUGCGAAAGCGUGGGUAGCGAACAGGAUUAGAUACCCCCGUAGUCC
rnacentral:rRNA from 1 species